rnacentral:lncRNA from 1 species
ACUGUCUUACCCAAAGAGAAAUGACUUAAAAGCUUAUCUUAACCCAAUGUAGUCUUAAAGGUGGACAAAUUUCAAAACAUUUAAAAAUCAUCAGUAAACCAGUUGUCAGAUCUUCGCUCAAGGCAUGCCCAUCUUUUAGCUUGGGCUGAAUGAAUCAGGAUGAUUAAAACACAGGUCUUCCUCAGCCCGCCUAGUAGGGAGGAACUGUUGUUCACCACUAUUUGUUGAAUUCUAGGCAUCCUCUAGUACAGCUCAAGAAUCAGGACUGAGCAAUUGUGAUUUCUCUCUGAGCCACUUCAGGUGUCCCAAACCUGCUCAUUCUGUGUGAAC